UACGUAGGUGGCAAGCGUUGUCCGGAUUUACUGGGCGUAAAGAGCGCGCAGGCGGUCGUACAAGUCGCGUGUGAAAGCCCCCGGCUCAACUGGGGAGGGUCACGCGAUACUGUUCGACUCGAAGGCAGGAGAGGGAAGCAGAAUUCCCGGUGUAGUGGUGAAAUGCGUAGAUAUCGGGGGGAAUACCAGUGGCGAAGGCGGCUUCCUGGCCUGUUCUUGACGCUGAGGCGCGAAAGCUAGGGUAGCAAACGGG
rnacentral:rRNA from 1 species